rnacentral:rRNA from 1 species
CCUACGGGAGACAGCAGUGAGGAAUAUUGGUCAAUGGACGCAAGUCUGAACCAGCCAUGCCGCGUGCAGGAUGACGGCUCUAUGAGUUGUAAACCGCUUUUGUACGAGGGUAAACCCCGAUACGUGUAUCGGGUUGAAAGUAUCGUACGAAUAAGGAUCGGCUAACGCCGUGCCAGCAGCCGCGGUAAUACGGAGGAUCCGAGCGUUAUUCGGAUUUAUUGGGUUUAAAGGGUGCGUAGGCGGUUUGAUAAGUUAGACGUGAAAUGUCGGGGCUCAACCCCGAAACUGCCUCUAAUACUGUGGGACUAGAGAAUAGUAGCGGUAGGCGGAAUGUAUGGUGUAGCGGUGAAAUGCAUAGAGAUCAUACAGAACACCGAUUGCGAAGGCAGCUUACCAACCUAUAUCUGACGUUGAGGCACGAAAGCGUGGGUAGCAAACAGGAUUAGAUACCCGAGUAGUC